rnacentral:rRNA from 1 species
GUCUACGGCCAUGCCACCCUGAACAAGCCCGAUGUCUGAUCUCGGAAGCUAAGCAGGGUCGGGCCUCGUUAGUACUUGGAUGGGAGACCACCUAGAAGACCAGAUGCUGCAGGCA